AUUCCUGCACCGUCGUAUGAUGCGAUGGGGGGACGGAUCGCGGAAGGUUGUCCGGGUGUUGGAUGUCCCGGUCCCUGCAUUGGAGAUGGCACUUAGGCAAAUCCGGGUGCGUGAUUCAAGGGUGUGGGGCGAGCGACUUUAGGUCGCGAAGCAAUUGGAAGUGGUUCCAAGAAAAGCCUCUAAGCUUCAGUCAUACGAGACCGUACCGCAAACCGACACAGGUGGGCGAGAUGAGUAUUCUAAGGCGCUUGAGAGAACUCGGGAGAAGGAACUCGGCAAAUUGGUACCGUAACUUCGGGAUAAGGUACGCCCUUGUAGUUUGACUGGCUCGCGCCAGAAGGACGAAGGGGUUGCAAUAAAAUGGUGGCUGCGACUGUUUAAUAAAAACACAGCACUCUGCAAACACGAAAGUGGACGUAUACGGUGUGACGCCUGCCCGGUGCCGGAAGAUUAAAUGAUGGGGUGCAAGCUCUUGAUUGAAGUCCCGGUAAACGGCGGCCGUAACUAUAACGGUCCUAAGGUAGCGAAAUUCCUUGUCGGGUAAGUUCCGACCUGCACGAAUGGCGUAACGAUGGCCACACUGUCUCCUCCCGAGACUCAGCGAAGUUGAAGUGUUUGUGAUGAUGCAAUCUCCCCGCGGCUAGACGGAAAGACCCCAUGAACCUUUACUG
rnacentral:rRNA from 1 species